GACGAACGCUGGCGGCGUGCUUAACACAUGCAAGUCGAACGGAAAGGCCCUGCUUGCAGGGUACUCGAGUGGCGAACGGGUGAGUAACACGUGGGUGAUCUGCCCUGCACUUCGGGAUAAGCCUGGGAAACUGGGUCUAAUACCGGAUAGGAGCCAUUUUUAGUGUGAUGGUUGGAAAGUUUUUUCGGUGUAGGAUGAGCUCGCGGCCUAUCAGCUUGUUGGUGGGGUAAUGGCCUACCAAGGCGGCGACGCGUAGCCGGCCUGAGAGGGUGGACGGCCACAUUGGGACUGAGAUACGGCCCAGACUCCUACGGGAGGCAGCAGUGGGGAAUAGUGCACAAUGGGCGCAAGCCUGAUGCAGCGACGCCGCGUGGGGGAUGACGGCCUUCGGGUUGUAAACUCCUUUCGCUAGGGACGAAGCUUUUUGUGACGGUACCUAGAGAAGAAGCACCGGCUAACUACGUG
rnacentral:rRNA from 1 species